rnacentral:rRNA from 1 species
UACGUAGGGGACGAGCGUUGUCCGGAACUACUGGGCGUAAAGGGCGCGCAGGCGGUAUAUCAAGUCAGCUGUCAAAGACUGGGGCUCAACCCUGGUAUGCGGUUGAAACUGAUAUGCUGGAGUGCUGUAGAGGCAAGUGGAAUUCCCAGUGUAGCGGUGAAAUGCGUAGAUAUUGGGAAGAACACCGGUGGCGAAGGCGACUUGCUGGGCAGCAACUGACGCUGAGGCGCGAAAGCCAGGGGAGCAAACGGGAUUAGAUA